rnacentral:lncRNA from 1 species
UUUUGCGUCCUGCCUGUACAUUCCGAAGUUCUGUGAAAAGAGGCACUAGCGCUCAGCCACGCAAGGCAGGAAAACAGAGGAAGUUUUCGCAUUCUGACUGCAGCCUGAGUUCCCCGGAGCAAGGCUGCUUCUCUCCACCCACUCCUCACCAAGAACUCCUGAACUUGAGAGUGGACGACUUCAAAGCUAGCUCUCACAGACUCACCUGGAAAAGAGUUCAGCUGCGCGUUCAUUGAACCGAGAGGCCAGAUCACCUAUGUGAGGCGGUGGGAACCAUAUGGAGAUUUAUAUUAGAACUUCAGCAAAGUGCACAGCUGCAGCCGGCAGAAGCCAGCUCUCGGGCUGACAGGCAAAUGAACCAGAUCGUGGACGGGGCCUCUGGGUGGCAGCUCCGGCCUUUUGGUUGUUGGACAACUAUAGUCAGAACUGAAAUGGAACAGGGGCAGGAGAAAUAACACACUUUUACUCCACGCAACUGUUGCUUUCACAUGAUCUUCAGGAAUGUAACUGGGAUAAUUGUCCAAAUUGAAUCCCAUACCCUGUCAUGGUGAGUAGAACCAUCUAAGAUGCUAUUUUUUUCGUGUUUAUCUGUAAUUUUUUUCAUUGGUAAUCUCAGUUUUCUGGUGAUUGGUAUAGGAAAUUCA